ACUCCUACGGGAGGCAGCAGUGGGGAAUAUUGGACAAUGGGGGAAACCCUGAUCCAGCAAUACCGCGUGUGUGAAGAAGGCCUUCGGGUUGUAAAGCACUUUUAGCAGGAAAGAAAGACUAUGUGCUAAUACCGCAUGGUUUUGACGUUACUUGCAGAAAAAGCACCGGCUAACUCCGUGCCAGCAGCCGCGGUAAUACGGAGGGUGCAAGCGU
rnacentral:rRNA from 1 species